rnacentral:pre_miRNA from 1 species
UGUUGAUGAUAUAAGUAGAUACUUCUAGGCUUUGUUUUUUAUUAAAGCCUAAAAAUGUCUACUAGUAUUAUUGGUAA